rnacentral:sRNA from 1 species
AUGUCAUCUAUACGCCCAGUGCCUGCUUC